GUAAAUUUACAGGUAAUGGUCUGUAUUUUUUUACAGAUUUUUUCUGUUUUGUCAUUAUACAUUGAAAUACCUGUUGUUUUACAGAUAUUUGCUGUAAUUUAAUUUUCAGCUAUUAAAUUUACAGGGAAUUGCAUGUAUUUUAGUAUUACAUUAAAUUUCUGUUUUUUAAAAGAAAUGUUCUGUAUUUUUACAGAAAAAUGUGUAAUUUUACAUAAAAUGUUGAUUAAUAUUUUACAGAUUUUUUAUGUAAAAAUAGAAAAAAGGAAAUGAAUGUAUAACUACAAAAAUCAACAGUCAUUCAACAUGUUUUUUUCUUCUUCCAUUUAAGAGUAGGCUAGCUAAUGUGUUGGUUAAAGUAGUUUUUUAAGGUUCAAUUAUAGUAUUGGUAGGUGUGUAGGCCUUCUAUAUAUUAUGUAUUGUUUAUUUUACUAAUAUUUUAACCUCAUCUUGCAAAUAUGCUUAUUUUGAAACUGCUGAUUGGCCUUGAUUUAUUCUCCCCUAAAUUUCCUGAACACGUCUAUUAUUGAUAUGUACAUUUUAUGUUUUUCCAAAUCAAGUUGCAAAUGCGCAGCUUUGUGUUGUGUGUGUGUGUGUGUGUGUGCGUGCGUGCGCGACGCAGAUUCAAAUUUGCCGCCGAUAACUUUUCCGUUAGUCCCGCCCACAACAGUUCCCGGAGUAGUACAGUGAUGGAAGGGCGAGCGGGUUAUUUGAAUUUAUUUCAGGCUACGCUUGUGUCGUGAGAUUAACAGUAGUGUAAAGCAAUCGUAAAAGAGCAGUUGUGAGCAGGAGUAUUUAUUUGAACUCCUCCGGCGAUCCAUUCUUCUGAACAGUGUGAGGAAAAACUAUCACGUCCUUUCAGCGAGAAGACCACAGCGGACAUCAUACCAACCGAUCACUGGCUGAGGUCAUGUGGAAAGACUGUGGAGAUCUACAGCAACAUUGCAGUACAGCCAGAUGAUCAACCAGUAGCUGCUCGCAUCUCAGCCUGCUUGAUGGAAAUGUCCGACUUUCACCUGGAUGACCUUUACCUUCAACUCCACCUUGCCAAGACAGAAAUGCUCGUGGUUUCCACCCAUCAUUUGUGUUAUAAUCAAUCAGUUAAACUUCACAGACUACAGUGCUGGAACUGCCAGAUCUUGCAUAUUUGCCCAGUACAACAUUGGGAAGAUCAAGCCAUCCCUGUAUGCUACACAGCAGAACAACAACUGGCUCUCCAAGCCUGUACCUAAACGCUCUGCUUCAGACUUAUUAUACGCCCUCCAGAAGCUUGCGCUCUGAAAGUGAACAGCAUCUUGUGGUGCCAUCCCAAAGGGGCACAAAUUCACUUUAACUGACCUUUACCUGGACUGUUCCCUGCUGGUUCAAUAACCUGACUAACUCAAACCAUUUUCAAGAGACUGCUAAAGAUGCAUCCUUUUUUUGUGAACAAUUGACCUGUUAAUACUAUCUUUCUGUUUAACUGAAAAAAAAAUAAAAAUAAUAAUUUCUAUGCAUACUGUGCUAGACUAACUGGAAAUUGUCAUUAUACUUAUUGUUGCUUCUGUUGUACUCCUUGUAGUCACAUAUAUGUAAGAGUCAUCAUAUAUGUAUAAAAUAACAGCAAUAUUACAGUACAGAAGUAUACAGUAAUUGUCUUUUUAUUGUAGAUGUUCUAUAUACUACGCUUGUAUUUCCUAUAAGUUGACAUACAAUGUCUUAUAUACACUGACUAAUACUGUAUGUGCAUGCUCCUUUGAUUAAAUAUAUUCUGCACUAUAUUUUGUUAAUUUAACAGAAAUUGGUUGUAAAGGUUGUUAUUAUGCAUUUCUAAGUAAUUAAUUCAUUGAUUGAAGUUGUGAGUGGUUCUGUAAAAAUAAAGAUUAAUACAGUAAAAUGCAAACAUUUGUUUUUGAAUUUAUGUGCUAAUUGCAUUUUUAUAAAUAAUUUCUUUGUUAUUGUACAUGGAAAAUAUAUAUUUUAAAAGUAAAUAACUGUAGAUGGACAGAGCAGCUUGAUAAAAUAACUCCUAAAAACCUUCAAUUUGCAGAGAUUAACCUGAAAAUUAGUUGUUUUCUAUGUAAUCUGACAUAAUUUAUCAGUUUUUCCACGGUUUAAUAAAUGAUUAUCAACACUAAUAUACUGUAAUUUAAUGAAUUUUGACUGUAAAGUCUGUUCUGUAUUUUUACAGUUUUUGCAUGUAAUCUUGUGAAAUGGUUAUUUGCUGUAAUUUUAUGGGAUUUCUCUGGAAACUCUGCUGCCAGACUUUUUACCGUUUUUUUACAGGAUUUUUUUUUACAGUGUACUUUAAAAGAGCACACUUAAGUGUGAAUUAAAUGUAAUGUUUUCAUCGCUUAAGUGCAUUCUAUUUGUAAUUAA